rnacentral:rRNA from 1 species
CCUACGGGAGGCAGCAGUGAGGAAUAUUGGUCAAUGGUCGGGAGACUGAACCAGCCAAGCCGCGUGAGGGAUGAAGGUACAGAGUAUUGUAAACCUCUUUUGUCAGGGAACAAAGGCGGGGACGUGUCCCCGGAUGAGUGUACCUGAAGAAAAAGCAUCGGCUAACUCCGUGCCAGCAGCCGCGGUAAUACGGAGGAUGCGAGCUUUAUCCGCAUUUAUUGGGUGAAAGGGGGGCGAAGGCGGUCUGUAGAGUCAGCGGUCAAAGCCCGGGGCCAAACCCCGGCCCGCCGUUGAAACUGGCAGUCUCGAGUUGGAGAGAAGUAUGCGGAAUGCGCGGUGUAGCGGUGAAAUGCAUAGAUAUCGCGCAGAACUCCGAUUGCGAAGGCAGCAUGCCGGCUCCACACUGACGCUGAGGCACGAAAGCGUGGGUAUCGAACAGGAUUAGAUACCCGGGUAGUC